rnacentral:rRNA from 1 species
AGUGAACGCUGGCGGUAGGCCUAACACAUGCAAGUCGAACGGCAGCACAGUAAGAGCUUGCUCUUACGGGUGGCGAGUGGCGGACGGGUGAGGAAUACAUCGGAAUCUACUUUUUCGUGGGGGAUAACGUAGGGAAACUUACGCUAAUACCGCAUACGACCUACGGGUGAAAGCAGGGGAUCUUCGGACCUUGCGCGAUUGAAUGAGCCGAUGUCGGAUUAGCUAGUUGGCGGGGUAAAGGCCCACCAAGGCGACGAUCCGUAGCUGGUCUGAGAGGAUGAUCAGCCACACUGGAACUGAGACACGGUCCAGACUCCUACGGGAGGCAGCAGUGGGGAAUAUUGGACAAUGGGCGCAAGCCUGAUCCAGCCAUACCGCGUGGGUGAAGAAGGCCUUCGGGUUGUAAAGCCCUUUUGUUGGGAAAGAAAAGCAGCAGGUUAAUACCCCGCUGUUCUGACGGGACCCAAGAAUAAGCACCGGCUAACUUCGUG